AGGAGGCAGUUGCUAAGGCAUUUGGUAUACCGGUGCAAUUUCAACGUUAUUGGAUAUGGGCAAAACGCCAGAACCACACGUAUCGGCCUGAUCGUGCAUUGACAGCUCAAGAGGAAACCCAACCAGUUGGUGAACUGAGAGAGGUUUCAAAUAAAUGGAACAAUGAUGAGCUAAAACUUUUUCUGGAAGUAGAAUUAUGCCUGGAUUUGCGACCUUUACAUCCAGCAGGGAAGACGACCAGGGAAGAAAUCCUUCUAUUUUUUAAACUUUAUGACCCUCUGAAAGAGACGAUUAGGUAUGUUGGACAUCUUUUUGU